AUGAUUCGUGGGGAUCUCAAUUAUUCAUCACAAUCACGUAAUGAAUUUAUUUAAGUCGAUACACGAGUUCUUCAAGUUUGUUUUACAUAUGAACCUUAAAAUCGCAAUGCUACAGCAAUGACUGCGGAAUGUAUGUGGUUCAGUGGAUGAUAUUGUACCACCUUUGGAGCUCAUACGACGUUGUGAAGGUGAGGUACUAUAGCAAGAUGAGGCUUGGCAUCGACAUGGUUCUUAAGUACCACAACGAGAACCGCAUGCCAGUCAUAGAAUUGGCGAUAGAGUAUUGGAGGACUUUCACAAGGGAUCCUCUGAUUACAAAAUGAACCCACAGUUGUCGAUUUAACUCUUUUUGGAGCAGCUAUAAUAAUACAAGGCUGAAAAAAUGGAUCCGUUUUGGUAGUACUUACUUUUGAAGUCCACCCCCUGCAACUGUGAUGGAUGACCCCUCACACAAAGACAUGAAGAUAUACGGUACAAAAUCUUUUGCCGAGGUGUAGAUCCCAUGCACAUAAAGGUUGACCAUUGAGGUCACUAAUAACAGGUAGCAUUGUUGAAAGAUUUAAGAAUGCAGUUGCAUUGCUAGGAAAUGGAGCAGCGUCCCCCACAUUUCCAGCAAUGUUGGGUGCAUAAUUCAUUAUCCUACUCUCCUCCCUACAAUUCGCUCUCCUAGUGGAAAAGACGACAAAGCCAUGU